CAGCCGCCGCGGUAAAACCAGCACCUCAAGUGGUCAGGAUGAUUAUUGGGCCUAAAGCAUCCGUAGCCGGCUCUGUAAGUUUUCGGUUAAAUCUGUACGCUUAACGUACAGGCUGCCGGGAAUACUGCAGAGCUAGGGAGUGGGAGAGGUAGACGGUACUCGGUAGGAAGGGGUAAAAUCCUUCGAUCUAUUGAUGACCACCUGUGGCGAAGGCGGUCUACCAGAACACGUCCGACGGUGAGGGAUGAAAGCUGGGGGAGCAAACCGGACUAGAUACCCGGGUAGUCCCAGCUGUAAACUAUGCAAACUCAGUGAUGCAUUGGCUUGUGGCCAAUGCAGUGCUGCAGGGAAGCCGUUAAGUUUGCCGCCUGGGAAGUACGUACGCAAGUAUGAAACUUGAAGGAAUUGGCGGGGGAGCAC
rnacentral:rRNA from 2 species